rnacentral:rRNA from 1 species
UACGUAGGGGGCAAGCGUUGUCCGGAAUUAUUGGGCGUAAAGAGCGCGUAGGCGGUCCGAUAAGUCGGCUGUGAAAGUCAGGGGCUCAACCCUUGAAAGCCGGCCGAUACUGUCGGACUAGAGUCCGGAAGAGGCAAGUGGAAUUCCCGGUGUAGCGGUGAAAUGCGCAGAUAUCGGGAGGAACACCAAUGGCGAAGGCAGCUUGCUGGGACGGUACUGACGCUGAGGCGCGAAAGCGUGGGGAUCAAACAGG